rnacentral:lncRNA from 1 species
AUGAGUGAUCAGCAGUUGGACUAUGCCUUAGACCUAAUGAGGCACCUACCUCCACAGCAAAUUGAGAAAAAGCUCAGCAACCUGAUUGACCUGAUCCCUCAUCUAUGUGAAGAUCUCUUGCCUUCUGUUAAUCAGAUAAUGAAAAUUGCCAGAGACAAGGAAGUGGGAAAGGAUUACCUUUUGUGUGACUGCAACAGAGAU